CUAACCAGGAUUUCCCUAGUAACGGCGAGCGAACCGGAAAGAGCCCAGCUUGAAAAUCGCGGCGCCUCGCGCCGCGAAUUGUAGUCUGGAGAAGCUCCCUCUGCGGCGCACCGGGCCCAAGUCCCCUGGAAAGGGGCGUCAGAGAGGGUGAAAACCCCGUCGAGCCCGGUCCGUGCCGCUCCACGAGGAGCUGUCUGCGAGUCGGGCUGUUUGGGAAUGCAGCCCUAAGCGGGAGGUAAAUUCCUUCCAAGGCUAAAUAUGGGCAAGAGACCGAUAGCGAACAAGUACCGCGAGGGAAAGAUGAAAAGGACUUUGAAAAGAGAGUUAAAAAGUGCUUGAAAUUGCUGGGAGGGAAGCGAAUGGAAGCUGCGGGUGCGCCCCGGUUGGAUGUGGAACGGCCGUCAGAAAGCUGGUCCGCCGCUCAACGCGGGGCGCUGGUCAGCGUGGGCCUUCGCGCCGGGACAAGAGCGGGACUUCGCGUCCCGUCUAUGCCGGUGCGGGGGCCGAGGAACGAAGCGCGCGCCGUACGGCGUGGGGCUCGCCCCAACUGCGCGCUCGGGACGCUGGCGUAUUGAGCUCUUCAUCCGACCCGUCUUGAAACACGGACCAAGGAGUCUAACAUGUAUGCGAGCCGGUGGGCGGCAAACCCAUUGAGGCGCAAGUAACCUGACAGGUGGGACCCCGACCGAGAGGGAGGGAGCACCAUCGACCGACCGUGAUCUUCUGUGAAAGGUUUGAGUGCGAGCAUACCCGUUGGGACCCGAAAGAUGGUGAACUAUGCCUGAGCAGGGCGAAGCCAGAGGAAACUCUGGUGGAGGCUCGUAGCGAUACUGACGUGCAAAUCGUUCGUCAGACUUGGGUAUAGGGGCGAAAGACUAAUCGAACCAUCUAGUAGCUGGUUCCCUCCGAAGUUUCCCUCAGGAUAGCUGGAGCUCGUGUAAGAGUUUUAUCAGGUAAAGCGAAUGAUUAGAGGCAUCGGGGGUGUAACACCCUCGACCUAUUCUCAAACUUUAAAUAGGUAAGCCGCCGGGGUUGCUUGGUUGAACCCCGGCACAGAAUGAGAGCUCCC
rnacentral:rRNA from 1 species